GGGUGACACAGGAGUGACACAGAGGUGACACUGGUGUCCCCACGGUGACAGGGACAGUGGGUGGCAGCCGAGCUGGUGGCCCUGGAGCAGGAGCAGGCCCGGCUGGAUGCUGAGGCCCCGGAGCUGGAGCGGGAACUGCGGGCACUGAUGGACAGCGGCGCGGACCCCGCGCGCGAGGAGCGGCUGCUCCGGGCCUGGUUCUCGCUGGUGCAGCAGCGGAAUUUGCUGGUGCGGCGACAGGACCAGCUGCAGCUGCUGGCGCAGGAGCGGGACCUGGAGCGGCGCUUUGAGCUACUGAGCCAGGAGCUGAGGGGACU